rnacentral:misc_RNA from 1 species
ACCUUCUUCUUCAGAAUCCCCAUCGCCACCACCUCAAAACCUCCAUUUCCACCCCUCAUUUCAAUGCCUUCCCUCUCCCUUCUCCCUCUCCCAAGCGCUUCUCCAUCUCCUGCGCAGCAGCUUCCACCACUACCCCUCUCGAGCUCCAAAAUCCCCCGCCCUCCCACAAUUCUUCCGACGAUCGUGUCUUCAACUUCGCCGCCGG